CUUUGAUCACACUCACUUAUAGCAGCAGCCA
rnacentral:piRNA from 1 species